GAUGAACGCUGGCGGCGUGCCUAAUACAUGCAAGUCGAGCGAACGGACGAGAAGCUUGCUUCUCUGAUGUUAGCGGCGGACGGGUGAGUAACACGUGGAUAACCUACCUAUAAGACUGGGAUAACUUCGGGAAACCGGAGCUAAUACCGGAUAAUAUUUUGAACCGCAUGGUUCAAAAGUGAAAGACGGUCUUGCUGUCACUUAUAGAUGGAUCCGCGCUGCAUUAGCUAGUUGGUAAGGUAACGGCUUACCAAGGCAACGAUGCAUAGCCGACCUGAGAGGGGGAUCGGCCACACUGGAACUAGGACACGGUCCAGGAUCCUACGGGAGGCAGCAGUAGGGAAUCUUCCGCAAUGGGCGAAAGCCUGACGGAGCAACGCCGCGUGAGUGAUGAAGGUCUUCGGAUCGUAAAACUCUGUUAUUAGGGAAGAACAUAUGUGUAAGUAACUGUGCACAUCUUGACGGUACCUAAUCAGAAAGCCACGGCUAACUACGUG
rnacentral:rRNA from 1 species